rnacentral:rRNA from 1 species
GACGAACGCUGGCGGCGUGCCUAAUACAUGCAAGUCGAGCGAGCGGAACUAACAGAUUUACUUCGGUAAUGACGUUAGGAAAGCGAGCGGCGGGUGGGUGAGUAACACGUGGGGAACCUGCCCCAUAGUCUGGGAUACCACUUGGAAACAGGUGCUAAUACCGGAUAAGAAAGCAGAUCGCAUGAUCAGCUUUUAAAAGGCGGCGUCAGCUGUCGCUAUGGGAUGGCCCCGCGGUGCAUUAGCUAGUUGGUAAGGUAAAGGCUUACCAAGGCGAUGAUGCAUAGCCGAGUUGAGAGACUGAUCGGCCACAUUGGGACUGAGACACGGCCCAAACUCCUACGGGAGGCAGCAGUAGGGAAUCUUCCACAAUGGACGCAAGUCUGAUGGAGCAACGCCGCGUGAGUGAAGAAGGUUUUCGGAUCGUAAAGCUCUGUUGUUGGUGAAGAAGGAUAGAGGUAGUAACUGGCCUUUAUUUGACGGUAAUCAACCAGAAAGUCACGGCUAACUACGUGCCGGCAGCCGCGGUAAUACGUAGGUGGCAAGCGUUGUCCGGAUUUAUUGGGCGUAAAGCGAGCGCAGGCGGAAGAAUAAGUCUGAUGUGAAAGCCCUCGGCUUAACCGAGGAACUGCAUCGGAAACUGUUUUUCUUGAGUGCAGAAGAGGAGAGUGGAACUCCAUGUGUAGCGGUGGAAUGCGUAGAUAUAUGGAAGAACACCAGUGGCGAAGGCGGCUCUCUGGUCUGCAACUGACGCUGAGGCUCGAAAGCAUGGGUAGCGAACAGGAUUAGAUACCCUGGUAGUCCAUGCCGUAAACGAUGAGUGCUAAGUGUUGGGAGGUUUCCGCCUCUCAGUGCUGCAGCUAACGCAUUAAGCACUCCGCCUGGGGAGUACGACCGCAAGGUUGAAACUCAAAGGAAUUGACGGGGGCCCGCACAAGCGGUGGAGCAUGUGGUUUAAUUCGAAGCAACGCGAAGAACCUUACCAGGUCUUGACAUCUAGUGCCAUUUGUAGAGAUACAAAGUUCCCUUCGGGGACGCUAAGACAGGUGGUGCAUGGCUGUCGUCAGCUCGUGUCGUGAGAUGUUGGGUUAAGUCCCGCAACGAGCGCAACCCUUGUUAUUAGUUGCCAGCAUUAAGUUGGGCACUCUAAUGAGACUGCCGGUGACAAACCGGAGGAAGGUGGGGAUGACGUCAAGUCAUCAUGCCCCUUAUGACCUGGGCUACACACGUGCUACAAUGGGCAGUACAACGAGAAGCGAGCCUGCGAAGGCAAGCGAAUCUCUGAAAGCUGUUCUCAGUUCGGACUGCAGUCUGCAACUCGACUGCACGAAGCUGGAAUCGCUAGUAAUCGCGGAUCAGCACGCCGCGGUGAAUACGUUCCCGGGCCU